rnacentral:rRNA from 2 species
UAUUACAAUGAAGAGUUUGAUCCUGGCUCAGGAUGAACGCUAGCUACAGGCUUAACACAUGCAAGUCGAGGGGCAGCAUGGUCUUAGCUUGCUAAGGCCGAUGGCGACCGGCGCACGGGUGAGUAACACGUAUCCAACCUGCCGUCUACUCUUGGACAGCCUUCUGAAAGGAAGAUUAAUACAAGAUGGCAUCAUGAGUCCGCAUGUUCACAUGAUUAAAGGUAUUCCGGUAGACGAUGGGGAUGCGUUCCAUUAGAUAGUAGGCGGGGUAACGGCCCACCUAGUCUUCGAUGGAUAGGGGUUCUGAGAGGAAGGUCCCCCACAUUGGAACUGAGACACGGUCCAAACUCCUACGGGAGGCAGCAGUGAGGAAUAUUGGUCAAUGGGCGAGAGCCUGAACCAGCCAAGUAGCGUGAAGGAUGACUGCCCUAUGGGUUGUAAACUUCUUUUAUAAAGGAAUAAAGUCGGGUAUGCAUACCCGUUUGCAUGUACUUUAUGAAUAAGGAUCGGCUAACUCCGUGCCAGCAGCCGCGGUAAUACGGAGGAUCCGAGCGUUAUCCGGAUUUAUUGGGUUUAAAGGGAGCGUAGAUGGAUGUUUAAGUCAGUUGUGAAAGUUUGCGGCUCAACCGUAAAAUUGCAGUUGAUACUGGAUAUCUUGAGUGCAGUUGAGGCAGGCGGAAUUCGUGGUGUAGCGGUGAAAUGCUUAGAUAUCACGAGGAACUCCGAUUGCGAAGGCAGCCUGCUAAGCUGCAACUGACAUUGAGGCUCGAAAGUGUGGGUAUCAAACAGGAUUAGAUACCCUGGUAGUCCACACGGUAAACGAUGAAUACUCGCUGUUUGCGAUAUACGGCAAGCGGCCAAGCGAAAGCGUUAAGUAUUCCACCUGGGGAGUACGCCGGCAACGGUGAAACUCAAAGGAAUUGACGGGGGCCCGCACAAGCGGAGGAACAUGUGGUUUAAUUCGAUGAUACGCGAGGAACCUUACCCGGGCUUAAAUUGCAGAUGAAUUACGGUGAAAGCCGUAAGCCGCAAGGCAUCUGUGAAGGUGCUGCAUGGUUGUCGUCAGCUCGUGCCGUGAGGUGUCGGCUUAAGUGCCAUAACGAGCGCAACCCUUGUUGUCAGUUACUAACAGGUUCUGCUGAGGACUCUGACAAGACUGCCAUCGUAAGAUGUGAGGAAGGUGGGGAUGACGUCAAAUCAGCACGGCCCUUACGUCCGGGGCUACACACGUGUUACAAUGGGGGGUACAGAGGGCCGCUACCACGCGAGUGGAUGCCAAUCCCAAAAACCUCUCUCAGUUCGGACUGGAGUCUGCAACCCGACUCCACGAAGCUGGAUUCGCUAGUAAUCGCGCAUCAGCCACGGCGCGGUGAAUACGUUCCCGGGCCUUGUACACACCGCCCGUCAAGCCAUGGGAGCCGGGGGUACCUGAAGUGCGUAACCGCGAGGAGCGCCCUAGGGUAAAACUGGUGACUGGGGCUAAGUCGUAACAAGGUAGCCGUACCGGAAGGUGCGGCUGGAACACCUCCUUUCU